GCUAGCAUCCCCCGAAGGGGGAAUAGCCCCGAGGGCCAGGACCGUCCCCUCUGGCUCUUGGGGCCUCGGCGUCCCCACCUCCUUCACUGGGGGAUGUAGCGUCUUCCCCUCCGUCUCCUGCCCCCUUCGUCGUGGAGGAGCUCCCCCUCUUCGCGGCUCACGGGGGGCGGCGACUUGGGCCUCGCCGACCCAGGGGUCGACUGCGCCCCCCUCUUCACGUCCUUCAGGGGAGCCAGCCCCACCGAGGCCACCUUAUGCAUCCGGCUAAUGAGGAGAUAACACCACUUAGAAGAAAGAGAAAAACAAAAAAUCAGAAUAAAAAUCAAAAAGCUAAAACAUACCUCGCUCGGGGGGCAGCCUUCUUCUGGGAGCUUGGAGCUCCCUGGGGUCCUCUCGAAGCGCCAGGGGCC
rnacentral:lncRNA from 1 species